UAUACGCAGAAGGAAAAAACACAUCUCAAACUCCUCUACGCAACCCAUUGGCACUUUGUCGAGCGAGCCUAUCGCCGCCUUUCCUCUUCCCCCGCUUCUACAUGUCUCCUCUCCUCUAUCAUUUUCCUGUCGUGGACUUGAAGAAGGUUCAUCGUGCUGCAAUCGAUCUGGAAGAAAAUGACCCAUAUCCUCCCUGAUCUGGAAGGUUCAUCGUCGUCUCCAGUCAAGGAAGCACGGAUCUCACGGUAGCUGCGUAAUUAGGCAAGUAAUCGUGUAAACAUCAAAUCCCAUGUUUUCUAUCAUGUUGAUUUCAUCACAGAACCCCCACUAAAUCCACUUCGUGCAUACUGUCAUCAAGAAGUUUUGGUUGUGUACAUGUAUUUUUGGACUGCUCUUGAGUAGAGUAUGCCUUCUAGGGAGUAAAGGAGGAUAAGCUUGGAUGGUCUACAUCAAAUUCAAUGGUACACUGCACCCAACGUGUGUUCUCUACGUCUUCAAAUCAUCCAACGGCUAACCAGUUCACUUUGAAGUUGAUAGGAAGCUUUGCAAAAUAUUAUUACUCUGGAGAAGAUAUAGAUGUUGUCCAAAUAUCAGAUUAUCUGCAUGGUAAAACUAAUAGCUCUUUCUUCCGGUAUUAAGACAAGGUAUGAUGUCUGGACCAUGAAUAUUUUUCCAUAUAUAUUCAUUUAACCUAUAAGAUUGACCAACUUCCGAGAUUUCUCUCAAUUCAGGCUGUUAAACUGUACAUUUUUGGCAGAUUUGUACUAAGAAUUUAACAUUGUUGCUCAUGCACAAUUUCCUGUGGUAACUAUGGAAUCCAUAUUUCCUUGGUCUGUUUUAAUAAUAUGUAUGAUAUUUCCUUUGUAGUUCCAUAAUUAAGAUUUUACAGUUGUGACUUAUAAAAAAUAUGAUACGUUAGACAUUUUCAACCAGGAAUACCAGAGAGCCCCUUUGGCGAUUCUAAUAUUUAUGGCAAUGGGGUUGUGUAAUUGAUAAUGAUCCAGAUUAGUAUCAGCUAAAUCUGCUUUCACGAAAUUAGUAGAUCUAUGUGUUCCAUUUUACGCAGCAAAAUAGUGUAUACGCAUGCCACUAAAUCUAUUUCAUCAUCGAACAAUACUCUACAAAAGCUCCCAAUAAAUUUUUGUGCGCAAACUUACAACUAAUCUAAUAUUUCUGUACAGAUCGCAAAUAGGAUUUAUAGUCUUUAUCUUGAACUAAUAAAUGAUUUUAGUUACCACCAAGUCAUGUAUGGUCACAUUAUUGAUCAUACUGAAACUGAUUCUCCUUUGUACCUCAUCCAGUGGCUACAAAAAGUACAAAUAGAUCACUGCAAAUCAGAGGGAGUGAUAUCUUCCCUCAAACUUUUCAAUUUUGUCAUUCACCACUUCUGUCCCAACUAAAUAGACAACUCAGUCAGUCUAAAUCCUUUGCUUCAUUUUCCAACAAUUUGGCUUUACCUGUAAUGCUUCAUCUAUAAAAGGUCAUGAGCAGAUGUUUCGUGUUGUUCCCUGGACAUGAGUUCUGAAAAGCUUGAUUUCCAUUUUUUGGAUUUCACAGCCUGGACAAAGCAAUGAUUUUCCAAAUUGGUUUUAAGUUGUGUUCUUUCAAUGAAAUUGAGUUUUUUUUUCGAAAAGGGGGAAUUCCCCGGCCUCUGCAUCAGAAAGAUGCAUACGGCCAUCUUAUUAACCAAAAAAGCAGUGCCAACAUGGUUCCAAGGUCUCCAAAAGUAAUAAAAAGCAAAGAAAGCUCACACAGAGCCAAAAAGGGCUAGAAACAUCCACUAGCCAAGAGAAGACGCCACAACCGGCUGGCUAAAACUAGGUAGGUAAACUACAUGCCUAUCCUAUUACAUGACCGCCAUCCAAACCGGUUGAAGAUAUCUCGAGCUACCAUCUCCCAUCGGAAAGACCCAGUAACCAAAUGCUCCCUGGCCUCCGUCUGGGUGAGUAGCGACCAUGUACGGAUCGUAGCCGUAGUUCGGAAUAAAACCUGCAAAAAAUGGAUACAUGAUAUUCUGUUAAAAACCAAAUCAUUUCUGCAAGUCCAGAUAGUCCACAUCAAAGCACAAACUCCAACCCGAAUGUGUCUCGCUAAGUUAGGCUCAAUCCCAUUAAGCCAUGUCCCAAAUAACGCGUUAACAGAAUUCGGUGGAUCGAUAUUAAAAGUAAUGUGGACCGUCUGCCAAAGUACUUUGGCCAACGGGCAAUCAAAGAAGAGGUGUUUGAUUUUCUCAUCCCGAUCACAGAAACUACACCUAGUAGGUCCUGUCCAAUUACGCUUUAUCAAGUUGUCCUUUGUUAAAAUAACUUGUUUAUGGACAAACCACAUAAACACUUUUAUUUUCAAAGGAACUUUGACCGCCCAAACAUGCUUAGAGGUAGGAAUGGAGUUCGAAUUAAUAACAUCAAUAUACAUUGAUUUAACAGUGAAUACUCCAAACUUAGUCAAUUUCCAGCGUAAUUCAUCGGGUUGUUGAGAUAGUUGGACCUCCAUCAGUCUCCUAACUAAACGGAGCCAGUCUUCCCAACGAUUGCCCGCUAGCGUCCGUCGAAACUGAAUAUUAAGGGGGAUAGAUUGAAAUACCGAAGCAACGAACACUUCACGUCGUUGAACAAUACGGUAUAAAGAUGGAUAUUGGAUGGCCAAAGGUGUCUCGCCGAGCCAAGUAUCCUCCCAGAAACGUGUACUAGAGCCUUAGGGUGCGCCUUACGCUUCAGUAGGAAUGAUUGGUUAUAUUGUGUCAAUCUUGCAGUACAGAUGGCGUUGUGGUGGACGAAGGGGUGAGAAUUGAUGGGACUUAAUGGUCAGUUAUUGUACUAAUUUUUGAACGGAAUUUCUAGAAAGUGAACCUUUCCCCUCAGCCUUCCGAGUGUGACACAGUAUUUACCAUCUGAUUUUGGCUUGCAUCCGCGUGCACAUCGUCACAAUUGAUGUGUGACAUCAGUACAACAACCUGAAAACGCCCUGUAGUGCGGUGUCCACUUUUGAAAUCUCGAUUUUCCCCAUGGGUUUGUUUCAUGUUAUUAAGUAAUAUCUCUCUCUUCUCAUUAAAAAAACAUAUUCAAGCCAUGUUUGAUGAGCACGAUGAGAAUUUUAAAGGUGUACUACAGUUGGAGCAAAUUUAUUGGUUCCUGCAAGCAGAACGGCUUACCUUUUUCUGUUUUAUGGGAAUUACUACCCCCCUCAACCAUCUCAUGUAAAAAGUACACAAAUAUGCAUUGGUAGAUACCAGUUUGAAAUGUGCAGAUCAAGUCACACUUCAAGUUAAGCUGUACAUGUGAUUUUCGUAUCUCCCUACUAAGAUAUGCAUCUGAACCUUUACUGAUAUUUUGAUAGUACAAUGACAAUUGGUCUCCUGUGAAGCAAAUAAGUUAUUUUCUUAUGGCACGUCAUGUCUUCAGCAAAUAUAUCAGAUAUAGAUUCGGUGUAAGUUAACCUUUUUGUAGUAUAAUAUUUUAUAUAUAUGGUUGGAUUUUCCUGGAGUUGCUAUAGAAUACUGUAAAGAUAACUUGAUGUUACUAUAGGGUGCACUAGGCCAGUAGCAAAGUUGUUCGUUUGUAACUACUUACUUGUAUGUUAGUCUUAAUAUUUAGUUU